UCAGGACGGGGAUGACGGCUGGGAAGGGCUGCUAAUACCCUAGAUGCCGAGAGGUGAAGUGAAUUUCGCCUGGGGAUGAGCCCGCGCCUGAUUAGCUAGUUGGUGAGGUAAGAGCUCACCAAGGCAUCGAUCUGUAGCUGGUCUGAGAGGAUGAUCAGCCACACUGGCACCGAGACCCGGCUCAGACCCCUACGGGCGGCAGCAGUGGGGAAUUUUCCGCAAUGGGCGCAAGCCUGACGGAGCAACGCCCCGUGAGGGAUGAAGGCCUCUGGGCUGUAAACCUCUUUUCUCAAGGCAGAAGACCUGACGGUACUUGAGGAAUAAGCCAUGGCUAAUUCCGUGCCAGCAGCCGCGGUAAUCCGGGAGUGCCAAGCGUUAUCCGGAAUUAUUGGGCGUAAAGCGUCCGCAGCCGGCCCUUCAAGUCUGCUGUUAAAACGUGGAGCUUAACUCCAUCAUGGCAGUGGAAACUGUUGGGCUUGAGUGUGGUGGGGGCAGAGGGCAUUCCCGGUGUAGCGGUGAGAUGCGUAGCUAUCGCGAAGAACACCAGUGGCGAAGGCGCUUUGCUGGCCCAUAACUGACGCUCACGGACGAAAGCCAGGGGAGCGAAAGGGAUUAGAUCCCCCUGUAGUCCUGGCCGUAAACGGUGAACACUAGGCGUCGGGGGAAUCGACUCUCUCCGUGUCGUACCCAACGUGUUAAGUGUUUCGCCUGGGGAGUACGCACGCAAGUGUGAAACUCG
rnacentral:rRNA from 1 species